UACACCAGUAACACAUAUUUCCAGCUCAACUGAUUAGGAUCUGUGUACUGCGAGAACUAGAACCCGAAUACUCGGUCUAAAGGGUCGACCUCCCUUGGAAUGUUUUUCCACUUGGGUGUCACCGCCUGGUACAGACCUCUACCCUCGCCGACCCUUAGUGACGCCUCUGCCUCCAAUUACACAAAAGUGCCUCUAUCUAUCAGUGUACUUCGACUGGCUCAAAUGACAGGGGAGUAGCAGUAGCCUGUCAAACCGUGUGCCUCGAUUAAACUUCCUCUAUGACCUGCCACAGCACCGCUACGACGAAAGUCAACGGACUGAUGAUGAUGAUGAUGAUGAUGAUGAUGAUGAUGAUAAGCAGCAGUGCAACAUCGUAAUUACAUAACACAUCUACAGCACAUGUGAUAUAUUACAAAAUAAUGUCAAUUGUACUUUACAUGAACUGGUUAUUCUUAAACGUAAUAUGAUAAGAUUGCCAGGAUUUGUAUUUAUUUGUAUUUAUUUAUUUUAAAUUCCUUAUUUCUUAGGCUCAGUUUAAGAAAGCACAUAAAAAAGUGAGAUGUACAGUAAUAGCGAAACAAACAUUGAGAUAUUUUAAGUUUAUGUUUUCGAGUUUCUUUUUUUUUUUCUCCUUGGUUUCGUGUUACCAUAGACUAAAAUAGAAACAAAAGGUAUACGUACGACGUCAGUUCUAUUUAUAAUAGGCAUAUAUCUAAACAUCUCUUUAAUUAUUCAAAUAUUUAUCUAUUUGUGCCUUUGUAAAAGGAGAUCUAUUUCUGAAUUCUUCUGUUUUAAAUCAAAACUAUUUGUAAUGUUGUAUGAGAUCUAUAUCUUCAAAGAAUGUCAUGCAUUUACUUAUUUCUAGAAUGUUGUUUUUUUUCAUUUGCUAACGUAAAUGAUAAAACAUCAAGAAAGACAACUCCUUUUACAUUGUCCAUUUCUGCUAGACAUUUUCUAAAUAUAAAAACUACGUCAUUCUUUUUUUUUUUAAAGGAAAUCUAUUUUAAAUUAGUUUUGUUAUUUGCCAUAAAUGGCAUUUAUUUAAUUUCAAUUUCAUAUCCUUUAGUAUUACACGCACAUAAGCUAAAUCUAUCCAAAUAUAAUUUUUAAAAUAAGAAGAAUAAAAAUAGAAUCAAGAGAGCAGACAUGAAAUGUAUGUCAUUACAAAUUUACGUAAAACUGUUUUGAUCAGCGUGCGCAAUAGCAGAAGUACCGCAUUGCUGUGGCACGAUAUUAGCGUGCCGUGUACAUUGGUCACAUUUUGCCAUUUCACAAUACCUUUAAAGAAUAGACUUCAAGCUCCAUGAUCAAACACCUCCCCCUAUUAGGCUAAAACAUUUCACACUUUGAUUUGUUUUUCUACCAGUCGAUGGCUCCUUCAAUGAAAUACAAUUAAUAGCAGAUUAAAUAUUUAACCUUUUUUUAGACCAAUAACAGAAUAUUACGCUGUAAACACCUCAUAGAAUGCAUUUUCGAAGUUCUGCAUACAAGGAAAAAAAAACGCUUAAAAAUAAAGAUAUAUUGUCUUUAACAUA